UCCUACGGGGCGCAGCAGUGAGGAAUAUUGGUCAAUGGGCGGGAGCCUGAACCAGCCAAGUCGCGUGAAGGAAGAAGGUACUUAGUAUUGUAAACUUCUUUUGUCGGGGAACAAAGGCGGGGACGUGUCCCCGGAUGAGUGUACCUGAAGAAAAAGCAUCGGCUAACUCCGUGCCAGCAGCCGCGGUAAUACGGAGGAUGCGAGCGUUAUCCGGAUUUAUUGGGUUUAAAGGGUGCGCAGGCGGUCUGUUAAGUCAGCGGUCAAAGCCCGGGGCUCAACCCCGGCCCGCCGUUGAAACUGGCAGU
rnacentral:rRNA from 1 species